AGACCUGGUGGCUGACUGACUGGUGAAUGAUCAAUUUGGGCUGAUUUAAAACUGGUUUGAACCAACUAGCACCCGGCCAACUAGCAAACUGCUAGGUUGCAAAACACAACUAGCAACUUAGCAAGGUAAGGCAGCAUGCGCAUCACUUUAGUUCUUUGUAUAUAAAAUAGCCUGAAAGUAUUGUUGACUAACAUCAAAUAAGUUAACAGAUUAGUUUCAAGAUUUUGUUUGUCACGUACAAGUUUUAUGACAUACAACAAGCAGUGAAAUGUAGGUUAGCCGUUAUAGUAUUGCUACGUUCUAUAGGUUAGCCGUAACAUAUUAUACGUUGUAGAUUGUGAUUGUGCAUCAAUGUUUUGUGUAUCUUCUUCCCAGUGUUUCCUUCGACUCUCAUGUGUCUAAUUAAAACCAGGCAUAACUGUGGAGAAGCAGAACUUUAUGUAAAACCUGCAGAUGUCUUCUCUUUAGAUUGAAUCUUUAUACCGCAGUGGCUGAUGGGUAAAACUGCACAACGCUGAAAUGAAUGUUCAUGGGUUUGGCAGAUGCUCUUACCCUGCAUCUGAGGUGGGUUUUAUCGUGGCGUGUCUCCAGCUGUAUCUCACUCAUCUCUGUUUGCGCGAGACUCUUUAGAGUGAGCUCCGGGACGCCAGCGGGAGACUGCAGGGGAUCUUGGCUGGAAGAGCCGUCUGUAAUCGCCACUGAUGGGCCCUUAUUAGCCUAGCUUGUCUGCGGACGUCACCCGGGAGCCCGUGUGGAAGGGGACAGGGACACAUCUGCUAAACUGAACCACAAUCAUCUCACAUGACUGCAGGCCUGCAGCAAACGCCAGGUUCAGUAAAGGUGGAUUCUACAAGUUUCAUGUGCCAUCUCUUCAGUCCAGUUAUUAUUAUUUUUAU